CGACGUGGGUAAUCUGCCCUGCACUCUGGGAUAAGCCUGGGAAACUGGGUCUAAUACUGGAUAUGACCUUUCUCCUUAUGGGGUUUGGUGGAAAGUUUUUCGGUGUAGGAUGAGCCCGCGGCCUAUCAGCUUGUUGGUGGGGUGAUGGCCUACCAAGGCGACGACGGGUAGCCGGCCUGAGAGGGUGAUCGGCCACAUUGGGACUGAGAUACGGCCCAG
rnacentral:rRNA from 1 species